UGGUGAUGCUGCCAGGAGUGCCUCUGCUGCUGUAUUUCUUCCCUGGAGGCGAGCAGCUCAAUAUGAUUCUUAGUGUAUUCAAUCUCUUGUCAAACCAGAUUAUGCUUCUGGAGGUGCUAGACUUGGUCUCCUCAAGAGAAAGGGUGUAUGUGAGAACCAUUUGAAAUCCCUUGAAGAGCCUUCCUGAGGAGGAUAACAUGUGUGGAAAUCAUUGAGGGAACACUUCCCCAAAAGUGGCUCCCCUCCAAUGAGAGCUUCCAAUGAAAAACCCCAGUACAGCAAGCAUUCUCAGCUUCAACCAAACCAGCCAUCUCCAUGUGCCAAACCUGGUGUCAGUGCUGUGGAGCUGCUUUACAGAACUGGAUCAUGCUACAUAGGACCCAAGAAUUCACAUACCUGGAAGGCAGCAAGUCAUGGGUAACAGUCAGGAGUGCUGGGGAUUUUCAUCAGCCAGACAGCAUAUUCCAUGUCUUAAGUGACCAGGCCUCCCCAUCCCCAGGUCAUUAUGGCUUCCAGGAAAUAAAGUUAACCAUACCAGCAUGGCAGGUGCCUCAGAACAUAAGUGCUGGAAUGGUAUGACUCCAAUGCAGGUGGCAACUGUUAAGGAGAUUCUGCUGUGAAAAUGGAAUUGAAAGAGGUCCAACUGCAAAUAGGGGAGGGAAGCCACUGCAAUCCACCAAAAAAAACGCAGAGAAUACAUUUAAUGCAUUGUUUUUUGUGAAAAAGAAACCAAACAUCUUAAUCUCAAAUGGCAAGAGAUGAGGCCCAUUGGUGAACAACUGUCCAAUCAUAAUAAUGGACUCAACUAAUCCUAGGAUCAGUGAAAAGGACAUGAGCUUCUUCAGAAAUUUAAGGAUGUAUAUUUACAUGAACAUUCAAAGAUUUCAGUAAAAAUGCUUCUCAUCCUAAUCCUUCAUCUACAUUCUGUGUAAGACCAAAGAUUUUAUAUGUGGAAGAAAUAAUCAAGAAGCUUAAAAGAAAGAUAUUUCUAUGGAUACAUAUCCCCAAGAAUAACCACCAUAACUACUUCAAAGUAGCUAACACAUGAGUCCAGACUGGAAAAAGACAGCUGAGCUUAAUUUUCUAUGGCAUUUCCCGUGGUAUUAUAUUUGCUUGUGCCAAAUGGAUAUGGACAUUUUUAGCUCAAGUUUUCAGUGGUUUGUUUUUUCAUCUCAUCUGUGCUCCAAUGCACAAUUUCAUCUGCUCACACCUGCAUAGCCAACAUGUUGGCUAUGUAGAAAACUUCCAUGGCUCCUACUAUCACAUGGGACUAUAGUACUAAAUGCUUCAUGGGCCAGUUGCUUCCAAAGAAAGCAAAAGAUUCAUCAGGAUUUUUUCUUUUAAGAUUCAUCAGGAUUUAGACUACCUUUAUGACCUCCCACUACAAAUGAAAACCCCUUUGUUCCAUUUAUGCCAACAUUUCUCCUCUAAUCCAUUCAUUAGAACCUUUAUCCCUUAUUAGAUGUACUACUUAAUUGAUAACUUUGAUUGGUACUGUUGUGCUUCAUGAUUUGAAGAAUUUUUCAAGAAUGAUUUAUAGGAAGAAAAUAUCCAAGAUUAAGCAAUCAUUUGUAGAUCUUGAUAAGAGACUUAAAAUACUCCUAAGAUCCAUAUUCAGCUCCUACAUUAAGUUCAUUUUAAAACUAGUCCUUUAAUUUUUAUCUUCAGCUAUGAAUAUAAAACCAAUAGCAUCUCUGUUCCAGUUUCAUAGAGGUCCACUGGAAGAGCCUCUACCUGCCUCUAUGGAUUUAACAUCUUUAACA